UAGCCAGUUGAUGACGCAUUUCAGCUCGGUUAUAAAUGAUGCUGUGGGGCCUUGGGGUUUACAGUUCGUCGGUGAGCUUUCACAGCGGUCGUAGCAAUCAAAGAGAGAGUUCGUUACCCCUCCCGAGAUGAAAUUAACUAUCGCCGCGUUUUGUUUGGUUCUACUGGCCGUAGAUGUUGAAUUGCGAGCGAGUCAGAAAUCACGGAAACCGGCAGAGGAACCGGAAGUACAUCCGAGUUUAGUCCGCAACAGGAUAAACAAACCGGCCAAAGGUCGGUCGUCACCGCCCACCCCACCACGAUACCGUGUGAAUCCAGUGCGCGGAAACCAAGCGCACAAGGAUGUUCGAGGCGACACAGCUAAACCACCCGAAGGCUUCGUGAUGCCCAAGCUAGAAAUUCCGGAAAAACUGAAAGACUACCAUCCCGACAUAAUCAAGGAAGCUCUGGCAGCUUAUAGUCAAAUCAAGCCGGAGAUCCUCGAAAGAAUGCUCUUCAGAACCGACAUGUUUUACGCCCCAUUUAAAUCUGCGGUCCAGACUUUGACAACGAAAUUCAAUAUAGGUGACAAGGAAGCACGAAAUAUUGUUCGUCACCAAAUUGGAGAUCAACUAUCGCAGCUGGAGAUACAGAUGACCAUGCCAAUCGUUGAAAACAUUCUUACCAGAGCAAUGCUUGCGAAGGGUUUCAAUAUCACCUACUUGAAGAAAAACAAAUUUAUUAAGGAAAAGUAAAGUCCAUACAGUUACGAAAUAAGAAUAGUAAGGAUAAAUUGUAUCCGACAAAAAAUUUAAAAUACCCCUGGUUGAUUUCAUGAUACAAGGAAUAGUCGUGUAGCCGGUAGGAAUGAGUAACUUACGACACAAUAAUCAAAAAUUGAGGUAAUAUAUCGGAAUGUAUGAUAUCCCUCAGUUUAUCCACGCAAAACUAUGUAAAAUAUUAUCAUUAUUUAAAAAUGUUGCGUCUCCAAAGACGGGGAAUGUUCGAUCGGUUACACGUUGCCAAUUCCGAUCUUUAAGGUACACGGAAAUAAAAGGUAUUAGGAAAAUUAGGGUAAAAAGGAAAUUAAGGUAGCACCCCAAUUAAUUAUGGUAGUACCCUAAUAAAUUAGGUAAAAACUAAGCCAAAUGUUGCGGUACUACCCUGACUUGAGUUGCGGUACUACCACAAUUAAUUUGAAAUGUCCAUAUCUACCAAUAAAUUGGGGUAGUACCACAAUUUUAGGGGAUAGCCCCUAGGGGUAGGGGCUAGGGGGCGGGGGUAGUACCGCAAUAUUUGGCUUAGUUUUUACCUAAUUUAUUGGGGUACUACCAUAAUUAAUUGGGGUGCUACCUUAAUUUACUGGGGUACCACCACAAUUAAUUGGAAAUGUCCAUAUCAUCAAACAACCUCGUGUAAUUUUUGGCGGUAAAUAAGUGAUGAUCAUAGAUUAUCACGGCCAUAGUUUGUGAAUAAGGUUCCUCGUGUUUGAAAAUGAAGUCAAAAUUUUCCUAUCCAGCAAGAAAAGUCAUGAAAAGCACGUAUCGCCAUAAUUUGCAACGCGGCUUGCCAGUGACGUUUAAAUACUGUGUUUUCCUCGUCGGAUAUAGCUACGUGUAGCUCGUGAACAGAGGGAGUACUCAACAUCGAAGUCUGUGUUUUUUUAAUAACUUCUAAUCUAUUGCAUUAUUUAUUUGGAUCACGAAUUUACCUA
rnacentral:lncRNA from 1 species